GCAGAAGAGGUAGACAGAAAGGCGAUGUCAGACAGAAUUCCGAAGGGGUCCAUCGUCCAUUUCCUCUGAGUGAUUGCUCGGUGGAGCACUUGAGAGUCUGUGCGAAGACAUAUGUUGGUGAAGCCUAAGGAGGCUGCGUUCAAGAGGGCUCCUCUGAUGGCAAGGGCCUCAGCCAUGCAGGGAGACGAGACAUGAGUCAGGGAAAUCGAUUUUCGUGCAAGCUCCGAUGAUGACUGAUCCGAGAAGAUCCAGGCUAGUCCAGCAGCGUCCGAUUUCCAUGAGGCGUCCGUAUUGAUGAAGAUGGUGGAUUCGGGGAGAUCCAGAGGGCGAGGUGUGCAUGUUGAUCUAGUGGCAACUUUGGACAGUGAGGCUUGUGCUAGUUCCCAUUCUCUCAUAGCUUUUAUAGCUUUGAUUAGGGUUUCCGAAGGGGAAGAGGCUCUUCGUUUGAAUAGGAGCUUGUUUCUUGCAGUCCAGAUGAACCAGGAGAUCCAUGGAAAUAGAUUCCCAGAGACUCCAACUGGGGGGAGAUUCUUUGUGCUCUGAGAUGUCUGAAGGACGGUGGCAAAGAUUGAGCUCGUUUGAAUGGCCAGUGCCGAAGUCCAGGGCGCCAUCUCCCAUACUUCCUUCGAAAAAUUGCAGUGGAGUAGGAUGGGGUCGAGAGUUUCUGGUUCUUCACAUCGACAGCAAGUAGUGUUGAGAAGCAUACCUCUUCGUUGGAGAUUAUCACCCGAGGGAAGAGCAUUCUGGAGAACCAUCCACAAGAAGAAUUUUAGCUUUGGGAGAAGAGGAGGGUUCCAAACCAACUUUUUUACAAUCCAACUGCUCUGAGGGGCCAUAUGUACGAGUCAUGUGUCUCGAGGAGGCUUGGCUUUAUUGCAAGAAUGUGGGAGGUGAGUUAUGGCAUAAGGGAGUUGAUACGUGCCAUGUUCCAUUCCUUAGUCUCUCUAGAGAGUAUGCCGGAGACCAUAAGGUCUUGAUCCAUUUGGAGCACAUGGCCGAUGGGCUUGAGGUUCUGCUCAGGCCUAAUCCAAGAGUCAGACCAGAGUCGUGUAGAGGCGCCAUCUCCUAUAACUUUACCUAGUCGUUCAACGGGGAGGUCUCCCUUUGAGAAUGCCUCUCCAGCCAUGUGAGAUAGAGGAGGAAGCAUUGAUCUUUAAGAAGGAGGUUUUGUGACAAUACUUACCUAGGAUAAUACGAGAGAACAGACAGUCAUGCACAGUAAGGUGUCUCCAAGCAAUUUUGGCCAGUAGGGCUUGGUUGAAAGCUUGCACAUCACGGAAACCCAGACCUCCUAGGCUCUUUGGUUGUGUUAGUUUAUCCCAGGAAAUCCAACAGAUCUUAUGCUCGCCUGACUUUGAAUCCCACCAGAAUCCGUGGAAAGGAAUUGAGUGGACCAGCUGAUUGACUUUUGGUGCAUUUUGUCGACAAUGGAAGCAAAGAGAUCUUUUUUCCAUCGGCCAAAAUGCUCCGGGUGCCCUAGAGGUUUUGCUAGAGAAGGAGAUUGAGGAUUUGAGGGCAUUGAAAUUCUGUCCCGAUGCUUGCUCGUAGUCAUGGAGUAUUUGCAUCAGGGAGAAGCAGCUGUGGGCAUCUGAAGUGGUGAAGAACAUAGUAUCAUCCGCGAACAGCAGAGGCCGGAGAGGACCUCUCCGCAAAGAAUGAAGAUGUAAGGGGAUAGGGGAUCCCCAUGUCGUAUUCCUCUUUCUGGAACAACCUUCCCCACCACUUCAUCAUUAAGUAGGAAGGAGAAAGAGACAGUAGUGACACAUUGCAUCAUCCAGCGAAUCCAGCCAUAGGACACUUCUUGAUUGCCCCCGAGAUCUUGAGGAAGUGGAGCAUCUCGUGGGUUAUAAGGACAUUAUCAGUGAUCACUCUGCCCGGAAUGAAGGCUGACUGAUUUUCAGAGACAACCCCUUGAAGCACAGGCCCCACAGAGUCCCAGUUCGAUUGGAAAAAGCUAGCAGAGAAGCCGUCGGGACCAGGAGCUUUAUCAGGGUUAAUCGCAAACAUUCCUUCUUUGAUCUCGAGGGGGGGGGGGCAUACCAGUGAGCAGUGCGUUUGUAGCCUCUGAAAUACUGGGGGUGAGUACAACAUUGACUACCUCUGUGGCAGAGUUCCCUGAAGAGGAACCCCCGAGGAGUCCUCCAGCACAGAGAUUCUAUUACGGGCUUUUCUUCCCUUAGAAGAGGCGUGGAAGAAGCCCGUAUUUUUGUCCCCAAGAGUGAGCCAAAGGAUCCUACUACGUUGUUUCCAGUAUUCCUCUUCAGCUUUAUUAGCGUUGAGAAGCUGGAGAUUUAGACUGGAGAUGGAGAUAUCAUCAGGUACAGAAAGAGACAGAGCGGCAUCUAGUAGCUCUUUGAAGUCCACAAUCUUUUUUUUACUGUUGACGUAGGAUUCUUUGCUCCAUUCAGAGAUUUCUUGGCGGCAUCUUCUGAUACGAUCAGCGACAAAGCAUUCUUCGUAAGCUUCCACGUCUUGUCGACCAGUGCUGCAACCUCUGGAUUGUCGCGCAAGCGUCUAUCGUAGCAGAAAAGCCUGAUUGGUUUCUUUUCCCUGACUUCCAGAAUGGAGAUAAGGGGCAUGUGAUCAGAAGCUUCAAAUUUCAGAUAGUGGGAGCGGGUUCUAGGGAAGAGAUUUGACCAAGGAGUGUUGCCCAGCGCUCUAUCAAGACGACAGUGAACAAGAUGAGAGUGUCUUUGUCCCCUCCAAGACAAGAAAUUACCCGUGUGUUUGAUGUCAAAUAAGUCGCAUGCUGAGAGGAAAGAUCUGAAUGGGCCGUGGAGCUCUCUGGUCGUACCGUGCCUCCUGACUUCUCGGCGUUUCCUACUAUUUCGUUGAAGUCUCCCAUUAGAAACCAAGGAGAAUCCCUAGUUAAGGAGAUAAUAGUCAACUGAUCCCAAACCCCUCGACGAUUUGGGAUGUCGGGAGCUCUAUAGACAAAAGUUCCAUGGAAGGAAGUAUUCUUGAAAGAGAUUAGUAUGUCUAUGAAGUUCUGAGAUGAGGAGAGGAUUUGGAUAUCUAUAUCAGCCUUCCAGUAUAGUGCUAAACCUCCUGCUCCUGGUGAAAGUGGAGUAAAGAUAAAGUGCUUUUCCAGCUUCAGAGGAGUCGAUUCUUUAAUCACAAAAUCAUCAGGAUUUUUCAUUUCCGAGAGGAAGAGAAUAUGAGGGUCGUGUUGUUUGAUGAGUUCUUUGAGCCUCGGAACUGUCAUGGGGCUAUCAAAGCCACAACAAUUCCAGCUCAGAAUGGCCAAGGAAGCCGAUGCUGGGGGGGCCAAAAAUCCUGCGUGGAUGUAGAUCAAUGUGAGGAAGCUGCAGCAGGAGGAGGGGGAGGAAUAUCCCUUCUCGAGGAAUCUCUAGUACUUCCACGUGGAGGCAGAGGUAGUACAGGAGAAGCAUGAAGGAAGCCGUGUCUAGAAUAUGGGUGAGCGAAGUUCCUCUUUCUGGAAGAUACCCCUGAAAGACCAUGGAUUUGACCCAUUUUCAUCCAUGAUUUAUAGGUAUUUUUACUAAUAAUUAUUAUAUUAUAAGUCUAUUUAUUAUAUUUAUAAGAUCAGAAGUGAUUUGGAGAUAAGUGAUGAUUUUGGAACCAUUUUGGAGAUAUUUGGAGUAAGCACCCGAGAU